UACAGAGGGUGCAAGCGUUAAUCGGAAUUACUGGGCGUAAAGCGUGCGCAGGCGGUUUUGUAAGUCAGAUGUGAAAUCCCCGGGCUUAGCCUGGGAACUGCGUUUGAAACUACAAGGCUAGAGUGUGGCAGAGGGGGGUGGAAUUCCACGUGUAGCAGUGAAAUGCGUAGAGAUGUGGAGGAACACCGAUGGCGAAGGCAGCCCCCUGGGUUAACACUGACGCUCAGGCACGAAAGCGUGGGGAGCAAACAGG
rnacentral:rRNA from 1 species